rnacentral:rRNA from 1 species
CGAACGGGUGAGUAAUACGUGAGUAACCUACCUUUAACUCUGGGAUAAGCCUGGGAAACUGGGUCUAAUACCGGAUACGACCAAUCUCCGCAUGGGGUGUUGGUGGAAAGCGUUAUGUAGUGGUUAUAGAUGGGCUCACGGCCUAUCAGCUUGUUGGUGAGGUAACGGCUCACCAAGGCGACGACGGGUAGCCGGCCUGAGAGGGUGACCGGCCACACUGGGACUGAGACACGGCCCAG